rnacentral:rRNA from 1 species
CGUGUAGGCGGCCAGAUAGGUCUGGUGUGAAAACUCGAGGCUCAACCUCGAGAGGUCACUGGAAACCAUUUGGCUAGAGUCCGGAAGAGGAGAGUGGAAUUCCUGGUGUAGCGGAGAAAUGCGCAGAUAUCAGGAAGAACACCUAUGGCGAAGGCAGCUCUCUGGGACGGUACUGACGCUGAGACGCGAAAGCGUGGGGAGCAAACA